GGGCAGACGCUGGCCUGCUCUACCUAAUACAUGCAGUCGAGCGAACAGAUAAGGAGCUUGCUCCUUUGACGUUAGCGGCGGACGGGUGAGUAACACGUGGAUAACCUACCUAUAAGACUGGGAUAACUUCGGGAAACCGGAGCUAAUACCGGAUAACAUAUUGAACCGCAUGGUUCAAUAGUGAAAGGCGGCUUUGCUGUCACUUAUAGAUGGAUCCGCGCCGUAUUAGCUAGUUGGUAAGGUAACGGCUUACCAAGGCAACGAUACGUAGCCGACCUGAGAGGGUGAUCGGCCACACUGGAACUGAGACACGGUCCAGACUCCUACGGGAGGCAGCAGUAGGGAAUCUUCCGCAAUGGGCGAAAGCCUGACGGAGCAACGCCGCGUGAGUGAUGAAGGUCUUCGGAUCGUAAAACUCUGUUAUCAGGGAAGAACAAAUGUGUAAGUAACUGUGCACAUCUUGACGGUACCUGAUCAGAAAGCCACGGCUAACUACGUGCCAGCAGCCGCGGUAAUACGUAGGUGGCAAGCGUUAUCCGGAAUUAUUGGGCGUAAAGCGCGCGUAGGCGGUUUUUUAAGUCUGAUGUGAAAGCCCACGGCUCAACCGUGGUAGGGUCAUUGGAAACUGGAAAACUUGAGUGCAGAAGAGGAAAGUGGAAUUCCAUGUGUAGCGGUGAAAUGCGCAGAGAUAUGGAGGAACACCAGUGGCGAUGCGACUUUCUGGUCUGUAACUGACGCUGAUGUGCGAAAGCGUGGGGAUCAAACAUGAUUAGAUACCCUGAUAGUCCACGCGUAACGAUGAGUGCUAAGUGUUAGGGGGUUUC
rnacentral:rRNA from 1 species